rnacentral:lncRNA from 1 species
UGGGGACAAAUAUUGUAAAGCUAAGUACACAGCUCAGUAAAAAUGCACAGAUAAAUGCGGCUGUUGCUUUGUUCUGUAACUUCUGUAGCCAGUGUGUCAUUUACUGAACGACAGCAGUUUUGCUCCUGAUGUGAUGACGGACAGGAGGAAGGCUUGAUGUGUUUCUCUCUGUUCAGGGCGGUGGGCUGAGGUUGAUUGACAGCAGCUCUGGGGUGACGGUGUAUCCGUUCUCCACAGCUGAGCGCAGGAUAGAUCUCCUGCCAGACAGCUUUCAGCAUCAGGUCUCAGUAAGAGAGACUUCCACAGUGUCCUCAACAACAUCCAGCAUCUGCUGCUCCAGGCCUCCUGCUCCCGCUCAGGAACACAGCGCCAUCUACAGGUUGGGCCGUGUGAGCAUGAGUGUGGCUGCUGAAGACUCUGGCAGCGGUGUACAUUUGACUAACAGCUCUUGUGUUGCCAUGUAGAGAGAAAUCAGGAGUAAGUGCAGAGAACUGUGUGUGAACAUGAUCUUGCUGGACUAAAUAUGAACGUGUGUUUACUCCUCUCACCUGAACAAAAACAGAUUCAGUAUGCCUCAAAAUAAAUAAAAACAGUAAAACGCAAUAUCAGAAUAUUAUACAAACAUGCAAUAAUUAAAUAUGUUAAAUUAGACACAUAUCAUUAAUCCCAUUUUAUUAACCAAUGUCUUUGCUGCAGACCUUCAAUGAUCCAAUUAAAACAUUCUAAGCAAACAUUACACAUACGUGUUUUAUUUGUGUUUUUGUUGGAAGGUGUUGAACUUUCUUCUCCUGCGUCAUAUUCAACAUGUGAUUUGUUUGUGCGGCACCCUCUUAUUGUACAGACGUGAUAUUAUAUUUCCUUCAGCCUAAGGCGGAUUCAUGUAACUUUUGGUGUGAAAGGGCUUUUACAUUUGUAAAGAAGAAUGUUUUAUAUUAAAAACAAACAAGCAAGCCCUGCCCAGAUUUAACGUUAAACAUUACUUUCCAUAAGAAGUAAAUAAGAAAUAAUAAUUACUUUUUAGAGAGUAACACAAAAGUUGUAGUGCAUUACUUUUAGAAGUCACUUUGCCCAACACCUUCCUCCUGAUGAAGAGAUGUGAAAGUUUGAAAAUAAAGCUGUUAGUUUAAACCACAUCUCCUGUCAUUUAUUGACUUUCCUGAUGCUGUUAAUGUUUUCUGUGGAACACAAAGAGAAAUGUGAAGAAUACCCUGAAGACCAAAAC